AACGAACGCUGGCGGCAUGCCUAACACAUGCAAGUCGAACGGGUACCUUCGGGUGCUAGUGGCGCACAGGUGCGUAACGCGUGGGAAUCUGCCCUUGGGUUCGGAAUAACUCAGCGAAAGCUGUGCUAAUACCGGAUGAUGUCGAAAGACCAAAGAUUUAUCGCCCGAGGAUGAGCCCGCGUUGGAUUAGCUAGUUGGUGGGGUAAAGGCCUACCAAGGCGACGAUCCAUAGCUGGUCUGAGAGGAUGAUCAGCCACACUGGGACUGAGACACGGCCCAGACUCCUACGGGAGGCAGCAGUGGGGAAUAUUGGACAAUGGGCGAAAGCCUGAUCCAGCAAUGCCGCGUGAGUGAUGAAGGCCUUAGGGUUGUAAAGCUCUUUUACCCGGGAUGAUAAUGACAGUACCGGGAGAAUAAGCUCCGGCUAACUCCGUG
rnacentral:rRNA from 1 species